CUGUAUUGAUAGAGUUAGAAUGUGCAACUUCAAAACCACGAAAUUUUCUACACAUGGAAAAUUACUAUUUUACAGUAAAAUCAGAAAGAACUAUGAAUUAAAACUAAUAAGACCAUUUGAAAUUUCCAUUUGUGAGAGUAGUACGUUUUAAAUAGCUAAGAAUAUUUGCCAACCCUUUAGAAAUUGAAACUGGUGGAUAUUCAAAACCAUGCAUUCCAAAAGAUUGUUGUUUUUGUCAGUUUUGUAAAACUACUGAAGAUGAGUUAAAGUUUUUAUCUCGCUGCUUUAUGAUGUUAGUAACAGGCUACUUGUCGGAGUGAACUUGGGCUGUUUACAUACAUGUGAUUUGAGGGUAGUAUUGUGCAGGUGGGAAAAAAUGCCAUGAUAUUGUUUUCCGCUGUCGGUAGUUUGGCAUCAAUUUUAAUUACCCCCCCCCCCCCUCCUUAUUAGAUACAUCGAGAAUAAUUACCGGUGUGAUACCUUGGAAGCUGGUGUAUGCAUAAAGUUAGACUUAUUGGAAAUUGCUGAUACACGCAUGUAGAAAUGAAAAUUUUCUAUCAGCCGUAUUCACCAUCCCGAAUUUGCAGAUCGUCAAUCAAAAGGAAAACACAGAUUUCUAGCACUCGGAAGAAAGCGAAAAACAUGAACAAUCCUUAACAAUACUGUCCAGGUAUAUUUAGAUAACUUUUAAAAAUAUAUAUAAAGCUUUACACUGUAACAGUCAGAUUCCGGUAAUAUUUACAAGACUGUGACGUCACACUCGAGUAAACCGUCUGACGCGUCUGACGUAUGCAAGACAGCGAAUGUGAAAGUACUAUAGGAACUCUUAUAGACUGAUGAGAAUUACUUUAGACGGGGUACGUCAACGAAUAGGCACGACAGCGAAAAUACGGAAGUCACUUCGGGGACUUGUCGCAGAAUCGCAUAACUCUACACGAGAUUAAAAGAAAGAAAAGACAAUGAAGACAAUCAUGUAAAAACAAAUUCAAUCAAUUAAAUUAUCAGCAGAUUGAAAGCAGAUUUGUACUCCUUUUUGUGUUCAUCUGAACCCGAGAUUCAGAGUAUCAAAAUAUCCAUGUAUGAUUUAACGUUAUAAAGUUUAUGUGAAAUUCACGUGAAUUUUAUGUGAAAUUCAUGUUAAUGAUUUCACGUGAAAUUCACGUGAAUUUUAUGUGAAUUUCACGUGAAAUUCAUGUGAAUUUCACGUGAUUUUUUUUCGUGUGAAUUCACAUUUGAUGCUCUUUUAACGUGAA